UACGGGGGGGGCAAGCGUUGUUCGGAAUUACUGGGCGUAAAGGGCUCGUAGGUGGCCAACUAAGUCAGACGUGAAAUCCCUCGGCUUAACCGGGGAACUGCGUCUGAUACUGGAUGGCUUGAAUUCGGGAGAGGGAUGCAGAAUUCCAGGUGUAGCGGUGAAAUGCGUAGAUAUCUGGAGGAAUACCGGUGGCGAAGGCGGCAUCCUGGACCGACAUUGACGCUGAACGGCGAAAGCUAGGGGAGCAAACGGG
rnacentral:rRNA from 1 species